UGACGUGACUGCCAAGAAUCAAUGCUAUCAUCUCCUGUCCCUGCUUUGAGUUUCGCCCCAGCUGAAGUGCCAAGACCAUAGCCCAAGGGGGCGGCUCCCCUCACUAAAGGAUAGGAAGCACUUCCUCACAUCAGUGAGGUAUCCAAUUGGUCACAAAAGCUAUUUCUGCUUCAAGUAUGCCAUCAGACCUAAUGAUGCUUCCCUAGCAAAAUGUGCUCCAGCUCACACAGGGCCAACUGGAAACAAACUUAAAUGCCAUUUUUUUUUCUACUGGGGCAGCUCAAAGCAGAUUUUUAAAAGAUGUUACUCUCUGUUACUAAUCUGUUUCAGAAGAAUUAUUAACUAUAUGGAUUAGUCCUGUGCUAGGCUGAGUUUCAGGAUAGUGAAAAUGUUUUUUCCUUAAUUUUACAAAAGCAAUUUGCGUUCUGGAUACAAAGAAAGAUUCAUACGUAUAAGCCAUUAAGUAGUUUGCAGAGCCAAGGAUGUUAACAUGAGAAAAGUUAUGAAGUAGGAUUGGGAGGUGUAGCUUAGUAAUAGAGCUCUUGCCUAGCAUGCACAAGGUCCACAGGGUUCAAUCCCCAACACCAAAAUGAGAGAGAGAGAGAGAGAGAGAGAGAGAGAGAGAGAGAGAGAGAGAGAGAGAGAGAGAGAGAACACACACACACACACAAGAGAAAUAUUAUGAAAUGGUACCUACUAAAAGAAAGAGAUGCUUGGGCGACAUGGUAAAGGUUGUAAAAAAAAAAUGUGUAAAGAAACAUCAUUCAUUUAAGUUUUUAAACUUAAGUUGGUGGAUAAGUGAGGAAAUCAUAUCAAAGACCCUGGAUGCUGUCCAGUAAGUGGGGGUUUAUCAAACAAUGCUUUGCAGAAUCCUAAGAUUCCACAGACAUGCCUCAAUACCUCAAUGAAUGGUGUUAAGAAUAAAUAAAUGUAGUCACUUUGACCUUAAAAUUAAUACGUACUAGUCAAAGAAAAUUGUUUUGACUGGUGUAAUAUGUUUUCACUUGAUUUUAGCCCAAAAGCUGAGAAAUGAUGUAUAUUAAGUUUCUAUAUAGGAUUUUAUUAGGGAAAAAGAAUGACAUUGAAAAUGUAAACUACUUUUUAAAUUAUUAUAGGAAGGACAGCAUCAAAGAAUUUUAUUUAUAAUAAAUUUUCACUUCAAAAUUAAUUUAAAAUUCAUUGUAUUUUUAAAACAAUACAAAUGCUUAAUUUGACACUUGGAGUUCCUGGUAUGUAUAAUGUGGAAGUUAUUACUAGCAUCAUUAUUAUUAAUUAUAUCAAUCUGGCUGCAUCUUGUAAUAUGAUGAGAACUAAUUAAAUCGGAACAUGUACCAUUAUGGGAUUUAACUGCACAUGGUAAAAAAGAAUUGCUUAGUUUCCCCUAAUCAUGCAUCCUUAUAUACACAAAAUCCACAUUAACUCAGUGGAUAGUUAAGCAUCAAGCAGGGACAGCAGAUAAUGUGCGUUUGUCCUUGAUGACUCUAAAAAAAGAUAUUAAUUUCAGUUUUACAGCUCAUUCAGAAAAUUGCCUUGAUAACUUGGGAAAGCCCUGUGUAUACUUUCUGCUUGUGUGUGUGCUUAUACUUGUGUCUAAAUCAAAAGAAACCACAGCAGCCAUAAAGGAAAUUAAAAAUAAACUUAAAUAUGCUUCCAUAAGCCAAUGCAGGGUCUCCAGAGACUUGAUCGUAAACUUGCACACUUAAAUUGUCUACAUGAAUUUUUGAUUCAAAAAUGUAGUAAGCAAUUUCAUCAUCACAAUCACAUAAAUUAAAAUAUAUUUUCACCUGGGGAAAGUAUUCCUUAAGCAAAUGUAGGAUAUUUUAUUUAGACAUUCAAGGAUCAGACAAUUUAUAAUUCUGAUCUCUAAGAAGCCUAAUAAAGCCAUUAAUUUACUUGUAUUAAAAGGAAUACAGAGUGAAUAAUAUGAGAGAUAAAGAAAAAGGAGUUUAAAACAAUCUAUUUUAUGGGAUGAUUGGGAAUCUUGAAGUAAAAUUGUAUGAACAAUUUAACUGUUAGGUCCCCAAAUGUGAUGUGCUCAAGUUCCCUCAUACUGCUAAACAAAGCAGGUGUUUAAGUUCUUGUAUUAUUUCAUCAUACUCGGACCACAUUCUUCCUGUUACUGUAUUAAGACAGUUUCCAAAAGGUCAUUUUUGUCACUGAGCAUUCUUCAGAUACUGGUUGAGAACUGUCCACAAAUACAUAAAAUAGAAGAUCAUUAAAAUAUUUAAAGGGGAAUAAAGGGAAGGGAGGGGUAUGGGAAAGAGAGUAGAAUGAAUCAGACAUAACUUUCCUAUGUUCAUAUAUGAAUACACAACCUUGUAACUCCACAUAAUGGACAACCACAAGGAUGGGAAGUUAUACUCUAUGUAUGUAUGUCAAAAUGCAUUCUCUGUCAAGUAUAUCUAAAAAAAUAA
rnacentral:lncRNA from 1 species